AUGAAUUAUAGGUCAGACUGUAUUUUCUUCACUAAGGAUACCACAGGUGCCAUUUCUUCACGAAACUGGCUGGUCUUCGAUGAUUUCAACCAAAUAUAUCGGGCUAGGGACAAGAAUAAAGCAAAUGUGGAUCAAGGUCGCAUUGUGCGCUUCCGGAAUGCACUCAAUGCCUGUGAGCUGAAGGAGAUUCAUCUCCAAAAUGGAAAUUUUACAUGGAGCAAUGAGCGCGCUAACCCAACUUCGAGCAAGCUUGACAACUUUUUUUGCAAUGUUUCUGAUAUCGAAUUUGGCACCCACAUCCUACACGCCCUCCCUUCAUCCAUUUCUAACCACAGCCCACUUCUCCUUGCGAAUGAUAAGAGGUCGUCGAGGACAUAGUUUUUCCGCUUUGAGAACUUUUGGAUCAAGAUGCCCGGCUUCAAGGAAGUGGUUCAGAAGGCUUGGAAUGAAGGGAUGCAACAUACCGAUCCUUACCAUGCCCUUUUUCAUAAGCUCAAAAUAACAAGUUAGAAGCUUAGAAAGUGGAGCAAGACGAUAUUUGCCCAUUCGAAAGUGCAAAUUCACAUGGUCCUCGAGAUUAUCCUAUGGUUGGAUGCAGCUCAAGGGCAUAGGACCUUGAGUGUCGACGAGCGUGACAUUAGAAGAAGGCUAAAGCGGAAAGUGGUUGGAUUGAUUGUGCUUGAAAAGGCAUGCAAAAAACAGAGCUCUAGAAUCACCAAUCUCAAGGAGGGGGAUGCUCACACUCAGUUUUUUCAUCUCCGGGUCAACCAUAGAAGGAGGUAA
rnacentral:rRNA from 1 species